rnacentral:rRNA from 1 species
UACAGAGGGGGCAAGCGUUGUUCGGAAUUACUGGGCGUAAAGGGCGCGUAGGCGGCCUUCUAAGUCGAACGUGAAAUCCCUGGGCUCAACCCAGGAACUGCGUCCGAUACUGGGAGGCUUGAAUCCGGGAGAGGGAUGUGGAAUUCCAGGUGUAGCGGUGAAAUUCGUAGAUAUUGGGAAGAACACCGGUGGCGAAGGCGGCUAUCUGGACCGACAUUGACGCUGAGGCGCGAAAGCGUGGGGAGCAAACAGG